UACGAAGGGGGCUAGCGUUGUUCGGAAUCACUGGGCGUAAAGGGUGCGUAGGCGGGUCUUUUAAGUCAGGGGUGAAAUCCUGGAGCUCAACUCCAGAACUGCCUUUGAUACUGAAGAUCUUGAGUUCGGGAGAGGUGAGUGGAACUGCGAGUGUAGAGGUGAAAUUCGUAGAUAUUCGCAAGAACACCAGUGGCGAAGGCGGCUCACUGGCCCGGUACUGACGCUGAGGUGCGAAAGCGUGGGGAGCGAACAGG
rnacentral:rRNA from 1 species